rnacentral:rRNA from 1 species
ACUGAACGCUGGCGGCAUGCCUUACACAUGCAAGUCGAACGGCAGCACGGGUGCUUGCACCUGGUGGCGAGUGGCGAACGGGUGAGUAAUACAUCGGAACGUACCUUAUCGUGGGGGAUAACGCAGCGAAAGCUGUGCUAAUACCGCAUACGCCCUGAGGGGGAAAGCGGGGGAUCGCAAGACCUCGCGCGAUUAGAGCGGCCGAUGCCUGAUUAGCUUUUUGGUGGGGUAAAAGCCCACCAAGGCGACGAUCAGUAGCUGGUCUGAGAGGACGAUCAGCCACACUGGGACUGAGACACGGCCCAGACUCCUACGGGAGGCAGCAGUGGGGAAUUUUGGACAAUGGGGGCAACCCUGAUCCAGCAAUGCCGCGUGAGUGAAGAAGGCCUUCGGGUUGUAAAGCUCUUUUGUCAGGGAAGAAACACCGGCUCUAACACAGUCCGGGAAUGACGGUACCUGAAGAAUAAGCACCGGCUAACUACGUGCCAGCAGCCGCCGUAA